UAGGGAAUCUUCGGCAAUGGACGAAAGUCUGACCGAGCAACGCCGCGUGAGUGAAGAAGGUUUUCGGAUCGUAAAACUCUGUUGUUAGAGAAGAACAAGGACGUUAGUAACUGAACGUCCCCUGACGGUAUCUAACCAGAAAGCCACGGCUAACUACGUGCCAGCAGCCGCGGUAAUACGUAGGUGGCAAGCGUUGUCCGGAUUUAUUGGGCGUAAAGCGAGCGCAGGCGGUUUCUAAGUCUGAUGUGAAAGCCCCCGGCUCAACCGGGGAGGGUCAUUGGAAACUGGGAGACUUGAGUGCAGAAGAGGAGAGUGGAAUUCCAUGUGUAGCGGUGAAAUGCGUAGAUAUAUGGAGGAACACCAGUGGCGAAGGCGGCUCUCUGGUCUGUAACUGACGCUGAGGCUCGAAAGCGUGGGGAGCAAACAGG
rnacentral:rRNA from 1 species